rnacentral:rRNA from 1 species
AGAGUUUGAUCAUGGCUCAGAAUCAACGCUGGCGGCGUGCCUAACACAUGCAAGUCGAACGCGAAAGUCCCGCAAGGGAUAAGUAGAGUGGCAAACGGGUGAGUAACACGUGGGUGACCUGCCUUCGAGUGGGGGAUAACGUCCCGAAAGGGACGCUAAUACCGCAUAACAUCCUGCCUUUGAAGAGGUGGAGAUCAAAGCUGGGGAUCGCAAGACCUAGCGCUGGAAGAGGGGCCCGCGUCUGAUUAGCUAGUUGGUGGGGUAAUGGCUCACCAAGGCAACGAUCAGUAUCCGGCCUGAGAGGGCGGACGGACACACUGGGACUGAGACACGGCCCAGACUCCUACGGGAGGCAGCAGUGGGGAAUUGUUCGCAAUGGGCGCAAGCCUGACGACGCAACGCCGCGUGGAGGAUGAAGACCUUCGGGUCGUAAACUCCUUUCGAUCGAGACGAACGGCUCCCGGACGAAUAAUUCGGGAGAGUGACGGUACCGAGAGAAGAAGCCCCGGCUAACUCCGUGCCAGCAGCCGCGGUAAUACGGGGGGGGCAAGCGUUGUUCGGAAUUACUGGGCGUAAAGGGCUCGUAGGCUGCCAACUAAGUCAGACGUGAAAUCCCUCAGCUUAACUGGGGAACUGCGUCUGAUACUGGAUGGCUUGAGAUCGGGAGAGGGAUGCGGAAUUCCAGGUGUAGCGGUGAAAUGCGUAGAUAUCUGGAGGAACACCGGUGGCGAAGGCGGCAUCCUGGACCGACACUGACGCUGAGGAGCGAAAGCCAGGGGAGCAAACGGGAUUAGAUACCCCCGUAGUCC